rnacentral:rRNA from 1 species
GGGUUGUGAGGUUAAGCGACUAAGCGUACACGGUGGAUGCCCUGGCAGUCAGAGGCGAUGAAGGACGUGCUAAUCUGCGAUAAGCGUCGGUAAGGUGAUAUGAACCGUUAUAACCGGCGAUUUCCGAAUGGGGAAACCCAGUGUGAUUCGUCACACUAUCAUUAACUGAAUCCAUAGGUUAAUGAGGCGAACCGGGGGAACUGAAACAUCUAAGUACCCCGAGGAAAAGAAAUCAACCGAGAUUCCCCCAGUAGCGGCGAGCGAACGGGGAGCAGCCCAGAGCCUGAAUCAGUGUGUGUGUUAGUGGAAGCGUCUGGAAAGGCGCGCGAUACAGGGUGACAGCCCCGUACACAAAAAUGCACAUGCUGUGAGCUCGAUGAGUAGGGCGGGA